GUCUCUGUAGCUCAGUGGAUAGAGCACUGCCCUCCGGAGGCAGGUGCGCCAGUUCGACUCUGGUCAGAGACG
rnacentral:tRNA from 9 species